rnacentral:rRNA from 1 species
AUUGAACGCUGGCGGCAGGCCUAACACAUGCAAGUCGAACGAGUGGCGGACGGGUGAGUAAUGUCUGGGAAACUGCCCGAUGGAGGGGGAUAACUACUGGAAACGGUAGCUAAUACCGCAUACCAUCGGAUGUGCCCAGAUGGGAGUAGCUAGUAGGUGGGGUAACGGCUCACCUAGGCGACGAUCCCUAGCUGGGCUGAGAGGAUGACCAGCCAAACUGGAACUGAGACACGGUCCAGACUCCUACGGGAGGCAGCAGUGGGUAAUAUUGCACAAUGGGCGCAAGCCUGAUGCAGCCAUGCCGCGUGUAUGAAGAAGGCCUUCGGGUUUUAAAGUACUUUCAGCGAGGAGGCUUUCCUCGCAGAAGAAGCACCUGCUAACUCAGUGCCAGCAGCCGCGGUAAUUC